UACGUAGGGUGCAAGCGUUGUCCGGAAUUAUUGGGCGUAAAGAGCUCGUAGGCGGUCUGUCGCGUCGGCUGUGAAAUCCCGAGGCUCAACCUCGGGUCUGCAGUCGAUACGGGCAAACUAGAGUAUUGCAGGGGAGACUGGAAUUCCUGGUGUAGCGGUGAAAUGCGCAGAUAUCGGGAGGAACACCUGUGGCGAAGGCGGUGAUCUGGGCCGACACUGACGCUGUAGAGCGAAAGCGUGGGGAGCGAACAGG
rnacentral:rRNA from 1 species